UACAGGGGGUGCAAACGUUGCUCGGAAUUAUUGGGCGUAAAGCGCGCGUAGGCGGCUACCUAAGUCGGAUGUGAAAGCCCCUGGCUUAACUGGGGAAGUGCACCCGAAACUGAGUAGCUAGAGUGCAAAAGAGGGUCGCGGAAUUCCCGGUGUAGAGGUGAAAUUCGUAGAUAUCGGGAGGAACACCGGUGGCGAAGGCGGCGACCUGGGUUACACUGACGCUGAGGCGCGAAAGCGUGGGGAGCAAACAGG
rnacentral:rRNA from 1 species